ACUACAGGAGAUCUGCACAAAACAAUACGACUAAUAAUGAAACCAGGUGCUUCGUCCUCAUUGGUCAAAAGGAUCUUCACAUAUGUCAGUCAACUUACCAAAGCAUACUUCAGUCAAAGAAAUUGUUAAUAAAUGGCGAGUUAAGUCUAUACCCGAUAGUUAAGUCUUGACUUGGUGAAUACUAAUUAUUUGAAAACAUCAAUUACAGUAAGUGAGAGGAUAAUGUAUUAUUUAAAUAUAUUAAAAAACACAUACCUAUCGCUAAAUAGAUUAUUCUACACUGUAAAAUAUAUCCAUUUUUUCUGUGAUUUCCUCCAAUGUGUAGUAUUGAAAUUCAGACCAUACAUUUUUACUCAUCCCUGUUUACAAAUUAGUAAACAUUUAGUUAAGAGUAUCAUAAAGAUGAUAAUUGAGAGCCAUUGAUUAACAAUAUGAAAUCAUAACAUGCACAGAAAAUUUACCAUUUGACCGUUAGAUCAUCAUCAGUGCACUGAAAUGCCGCUCAGCAUAAAUACUUCACUCUUCCAGUGUAUGUCAUGGAGAAAUCAUGAUGUGUUAUACAGACUUAUAGCAUCUGUAUUGAUUGGGAUGAUCCCAUUUUGAUGCUUGGGGACAAUUUUUCAGUAUUGAGCUUAAUGUAAAAUUAAAUGUGCGCUGCAAUUACAGAGCUAAUCACACAUACUUAGUAGUGGAAAUCAAGCAGCUAAUUACCGGACCACCUAGUGCGUACAGACAGGAAACGAAGAAGGCAAGGCUGCUCCCUUCUGGCUGACAUGAUCCACUCUGCUAUUCAGACCAUGUGAGAACUCAAAAGCCAUUUUUCCAGCAGGUUAAAGAACCUUGCCGAAGAAAUCCUCCGACACAGUGAUUUAAUCCAAACCGAUACAUAUGUUCAUCAUCACAGCUUUCUCCACGUUCACAGUAAAUACAACUCCACGACAAAUACUUAAGACACACACUCGAUCGCACAUGCACACAUACUGUAUACAGUAUCUAAAACAGGUUAAAGCAAAAAUACCAACUUGAUACAAUGCACUUUGUCAGAAACUCAACACUUUGGUCAAACAAAUUCAAAUAAAUAUCUUUGCACAACAUCAAAUGCAGUUUAAGGCCAAAAUCAACUAUUCAACGAGUCAAACAACGAGGUUCAAAAACAUACAUACACAAAAUAUUUCUAUUUACAAUAUUUCCUCUUAGAAAAAUAUGUUUUUCUUGCAGUUUUAAACAUAUUCAAUUCCACCCCGAGUGCACAAGAUGGCAUCAAAUUUAAUCACAAAUCCAUUGUUUGCAGUGCAGCUAAAUUCAAUGGAUACAAGGGCAUUCUGGAGGAAUUUCAACUGACAAGCAUCUGCAAAUAUCAAGCAACUAAUCUAACAUUUCCAAUGAUGACAAUUACGCCGUUAUUUUAAUUACGUGUAUAAACAAGUUCUGAUCACUUUUUACAUCCGUUUCCGUCAACCUGUAAACAUUUUUUGGUCAAACCUACACACUAUUUGAGUUUAAUCUUCUCAGAGUUACAGUAACCAACAACACAGCGACAGUUCACGCUCUGCACUAAAAAAAACUCAAACUACAAAUACAGUAAAAUAGAACUCUUUGAUUCUGAAGCGAGUGCCCGCCGCUGAAUUGAGAGCGACUGCGUCGUACUUCCAUAGUGCAAGUGGGACCUCAGGGGCCGAGUCGCGCCUCAGCGGUUGUGGACCCGAUCUGAGGCGGCUGUCGAAAGUCCUUUUCUGCCAGACUUGUGGAGGGAAACAAAAGGGGGGCAACCAGCCAGUAAGGCGCAUCUUACAGUGCAAGUGAAAUGGAGGCCGCCGAGGUCAGCGAGGUCGGCUCAUCGGAGCCGCAGAUCUCACAGACCUCCAGAUCUGUGCAGCUGGAACUUAAAUGUCACAGCGCUUCUGUGUCCCGAGGCCCAAAGAGGGAUGACCUGCGUCUUGUAUUUACAUGGGUGGAGGGUUACUGUAGGAGUCAGUCAACGCGACCGCCUGUCAGCACGUCUGAUCGCACAGGGGAAUCUGUUGUGUUGAGUGUUGAAGUCACCACAUCUUCCAUCCUCUGAAACUGUCUGUGUGUGUGUGUGUGUGUGUGUGUUUUAGAAGAAUUAAACAAGUAUAUCCACUAUCUGAAGCACAUUACUUUACAGUUAUACACCAUUUUAACACGACGGGGAAUUUCACAAAAAUCCUGGCCAUCCCUGGGGAACCGCUUCAGAUUUCAGGCACCAAGACUAAGCGACAGAAUCCACCAAGCGGGUCACAAGAAAAAAGGGCCCAACAGGCGGAAAAGUGCAGAAGACCAAGCAGGAGGUAAAGCUGAGCUGAAGGGGUACCAGCAGAGGAUCCAAUGUACAUAUCUACCUGGUGCCAGAGGUGACGCUGUCAAAAGAGAGAGGAAAAUUAGUGAAGUGUCUCAGAUCUGAUAAGCGUAUUUUGUUCGGCUCUAGAAGGCUCUCAGGCCAACAUAACUUUACUUUCCAUAAUUGCACAAACAAUAUUUUCAAAAUGGAAAUACGUCAAUUUCAGGGUUGGAAGG
ensembl:lncRNA